rnacentral:rRNA from 1 species
GAUGAACGCUGGCGGCAUGCCUAAUACAUGCAAGUCGAGCGAACAGACGAGGAGCUUGCUCCUCUGACGUUAGCGGCGGACGGGUGAGUAACACGUGGAUAACCUACCUAUAAGACUGGGAUAACUUCGGGAAACCGGAGCUAAUACCGGAUAAUAUAUUGAACCGCAUGGUUCAAUAGUGAAAGACAGUUUUGCUGUCACUUAUAGAUGGAUCCGCGCCGCAUUAGCUAGUUGGUAAGGUAACGGCUUACCAAGGCAACGAUGCGUAGCCGACCUGAGAGGGUGAUCGGCCACACUGGAACUGAGACACGGUCCAGACUCCUACGGGAGGCAGCAGUAGGGAAUCUUCCGCAAUGGGCGAAAGCCUGACGGAGCAACGCCGCGUGAGUGAUGAAGGUCUUCGGAUCGUAAAACUCUGUUAUUAGGGAAGAACAAAUGUGUAAGUAACUAUGCACGUCUUGACGGUACCUAAUCAGAAAGCCACGGCUAACUACGUG